GACGGAAUUGAGUAUCACCCACAGCUUGCAGGUUGGGGCUUAGCUCUACAGUCACCUCUUGGCCUGUGGUCAGGAGCCUACAAUUCACCCUGGCUGCCUACUGUAACCUUGCUCUGCCCACCUUGCUAUGUGCUGUGGGCUGUGCCUCACCAUCACCUCAUCUCCCUCUCUGCAUGGCAGAGCAGCCUAUCCCCCUGUGCUUUGAGUCUCACAGUGAAAGGCAGAAGUAUCCUGUUUCCUGACUUCAAGCAUGGAGGCACAGAGGUUGCCCUGCUAAGAGAGGUUUUUCUCAUAAACAGACCUCAUCCUAAAAGAACAAAAAACAAAAACCAACAAACAAAACAAACAAAAAAAGACAUGGUACACUUGAAUGCUUUAAUAAUUAGCAUAUCUCUUUUAGAGUGAUUGCUUUCUGCUUGGUUUUCUGACUUAUGGAUUCACCAGACUUUUUUGUGUGUUGUAACUAAAUACAUAGCUGGCACUAUCUUUGUAUGUUGACUGUCUUGAUAAUGCCUGAUUAUGGAGAAAUUGUCACACUGAGGAUCAAAUGCUCCACUUUACCUAUUCUUCCUCUGUGAAUCACUCUUUGUUUCAAAACUUCUUAACCCCUUUAUUUGAUCAAGAAUAACAACUUCACCAAUGAUGAGGUGCCUGUUCUAGUCUUCUGUAAGCAAGAACAAGCAUUAAUACCACACAUGAUAUAAGGAAGUAAAUGUGCUUUAAAGAGCUUUUAAAGAGCUCUAGAAACAGGAAGAACAGGAAAAAAAUCCCACUGUUCAUUCCCUCAUUCUUUCUUUUCUUUAUGUGUUAUGUUCUCCAAAACUGUUCUCUAAUACUCUUCUCAUCAAAUUGUUGUGGCUUCUGAAUUUCUUUUCAUUUAUUUUUUACUGUAUUUUACUCAAUUUUUGCUGCACAUUAGAAUAUAUACCUUGGAAUCUUUACUCUGUGAUCUAAUUGAGAUGCAUUUUUUACGAGGUGAUGAGUUAGUCCACAUUAAGAGGGUUGCAAAGGUAAUCAAGAAUACAAAUGAGCUAAUUUCUCAAACAAAAAAGUUUUGUAACAAAGCCUGGAUCAACAGUGUUAAAUUUAUUUUCUAAUACAAAAUAAAUCCAAAUUUCCAUCACA
rnacentral:lncRNA from 1 species